UUCAGAGUCAGCUACAGUCAAAGCACAGUCGCUCAUCAGUGGAGAUCUCAUCAGGUUAUGAUGAUGUUGUGCAUGAAGCUAACAACAGACUUAGAGCUGCUUCUACGAGUCGUCCUCCACCGCAUCCAUCUUCACUGGAACAUGGAGCUUUUCCUGUUUCACCGUGUGCUUGGCCCAGUGUGCAGAAGUAACAGAUCCGCAGACAAACUGUAGCUGCUUCCUUCAAGCCUCCUUCACAUGCAGCUCAACCGGACCUGACAUCAGCUCAAUCAAGUUUCUCCCAGGAGAAAGUCCGUUUGAUGCUCCUCCAGGACGACUCGGUUCUGUUCAGCCACUGGAUGAUUCUGGCUGAGGGUGAUGUCAGGUUCCUGGAUCACGCGCACGCGCGCGCACACACACACACACACACACACACAGCUGGAAGCAUGACCUUUAGAGGUAAACUGGUCACGUUUCCAAAAGCUGGAAGUAAAAAGAGUCAGUCUGUGAUUUUUCUGGGAUGUGUGACCAUCGGCUGCUCCAUCUCCCAAAUAAAACGGGCUUUGUAUCGACAGAGCUCAAAGCGGGAUUUCUCCUGGAGAUUAGGAGGAGAACAGAGAGCCGGGGGAUUAUUAUUAAGGCAGCAGACAGCAGCCACGAAGCCCCUUCUUUACCUCCCUUAUGCCGUUUGUAAAGCACAUUUGCUUCAGUCCUGGAAGUUUCAUCCUCUGCAGAUUAGCUUUGCAUUUCGUGCACGCGGGAGCGUCCGUGUUUACAGGCGCUGCAGAAAAUGAAGACAGGUAAUCUCUCUGCUGAGGAUGUUUGCUGACGAUGCAGCUGUCCCAUCGGGUCCAUCUCUCCUGGUCCAAAGGCAGCGGCUCCGUUUCCCCAGUGUUGCUGUGUUUUGUCUGUGAUCUAAUAUUGGGAGCGUCUCAUCGGCUCUGGCUCUGGGUGGGACGGCACCUUGACGAGGUCCAGGCUUUGCUGCCUCAGGAAGGACUUCACUAGUUUAUGUCUGUGCAGAUUCUGUCCAUCUCCGUCCUAAGGCUUUGACUGGACUGUCGCUACGUCAGGAUCAGAGCUGAUGGUCUCAUGCAGCCACACACUCUCCACCAUCACCUCAUUAAACAAUGAUGCGGAGCCACGCCACCUCCUGGAUACGGUUGCACAGCUCAGGGCCAAGCGAGGCAGGUCUGUGUGGACGUGCAGAACGGCAGGCAGCGCCAGGCACAGGUCGCUGGAAACAGACUUACAGGACCUCCCGGCAGGCGCCGUCGCUCUGCUGCAGGAGAUUAUGUGACGAUGACACCCUCGCCUCCUCGUCUUCCCGGAAACAAGCCCCACUGCAGCUUUCAGACAAGGCCUUUGAGGCCGACCUGCGGUUCACUGAACGAGAGCUUUGCUUGACCCAGAGGUCCACAAACCGACAGACAGAGAUAUUUAAAUUGCAGCAGCUGUUGAGCACCGUCUCCUGAGAGGUUCCUGAGCAACUACUGUAAACUGAGAGUGUGGCGGCAGCGAACACGUUUUGGAUGAAGACGUUCAGGAAACAGGCUGGUGUUCAGUGGUUGGAGCGUUUGGAGAACAGUUGGGAACAAUGGUGGUUCUGCCGUCUUGACGCUUGGCAGACGCUGAAAACAGGCUGCGUUUGGCUCCACUCAUCGGUCGAACCCGAUGCUUCUGAUGCUUCUCCAGACGUGAGCCGUCGUCCGUCGCUGCCUGUCGCGCUGCCAGAGCUGAAGCCUUCAGGGCUCUGGAGCCCAAGCGUUAAACCGACCUGUGUGCAGUCCAUGCGUCCUGUGAGUUUG